GGUGCAUGGUUGUCGUCAGCUCGUGUCGUGAGAUGUUGGUUAAGUCCCGCAACGAGCGCAACCCCUAUUGUUAGUUGCCAUCAUUUCAGUUUGGGCACUCUAGCGAGACUGCCGGUAAUAAACCGGAGGAAGGUGGGGAUGACGUCAAAUCAUCAUGCCCCUUAUGACCUGGGCUACACACGUGCUACAAUGGUUGGUACAACGAGUUGCGAGUCGGUGACGGCGAGCUAAUCUCUUAAAGCCAAUCUCAGUUCGGAUUGUAGGCUGCAACUCGCCUACAUGAAGUCGGAAUCGCUAGUAAUCGCGGAUCAGCACGCCGCGGUGAAUACGUUCCCGGGCCUU
rnacentral:rRNA from 1 species